GUUAAGAGCUAGGGCUAGGACUUGGAGGAUGUGUAGGCAAAACGGAAAGAGAGCCGGGGGAAGAAAAACCGAAAUGGAUUCAUUCUCUGUCCUGGAUGGAGGAGGAGAGGAGAAGAGAAGAGAAGAGAAGGGGACGUGCGAGCUUCCUUCAACUGCCUCUGUCCGGUGAAAAGUGCUCAGACCCCCGGGGCUGCGCCGGACUCCGGAGUCCGCGCGGACUUUCGCGCUGAGCUGCCAAUCAAACCGCUCACAGCCACCACCCUGCUCUGGCACCGACAU
rfam:Taeniopygia guttata chromosome 9, whole genome shotgun sequence.